AUUGAACGCUGGCGGCAUGCCUUACACAUGCAAGUCGAACGGCAGCACGGGUGCUUGCACCUGUUGGCGAGUGGCGAACGGGUGAGUAAUACAUCGGAACAUGUCCUGUAGUGGGGGAUAGCCCGGCGAAAGCCGGAUUAAUACCGCAUACGAUCUACGGAUUAAAGCGGGGGACCUUCGGGCCUCGCGCUAUAGGGUUGGGCGAUGGCUGAUUAGCUAGUUGGUGGGGUAAAGGCCUACCAAGGCGACGAUCAGUAGCUGGUCUGAGAGGACGACCAGCCACACUGGGACUGAGACACGGCCCAGACUCCUACGGGAGGCAGCAGUGGGGAAUUUUGGACAAUGGGCGAAAGCCUGAUCCAGCAAUGCCGCGUGUGUUAAGAAGGCCUUCGGGUUGUAAAGCACUUUUGUCCGGAAAGAAAUCCUUGGCCCUAAUACGGUCGGGGGAUGACGGUACCGGAAGAAUAAGCACCGGCUAACUACGUG
rnacentral:rRNA from 1 species